rnacentral:rRNA from 1 species
AUUGAACGCUGGCGGCAUGCUUUACACAUGCAAGUCGAACGGCAGCACGGGGGCAACCCUGGUGGCGAGUGGCGAACGGGUGAGUAAAACAUCGGAACGUGCCCAGUCGUGGGGGAUAACGUAGCGAAAGUUACGCUGAUACCGCAUACGAUCUACGGAUGAAAGCGGGGGACCGUAAGGCCUCGCGCGAUUGGAGCGGCCGAUGUCAGAUUGGGUAGUUGGUGAGGUAAAGGCUCACCAAGCCGACGAUCUGUAGCUGGUCUGAGAGGACGACCAGCCACAAUGGGACUGAGACACGGCCCAGACUCCUACGGGAGGCAGCAGUGGGGAAUUUUGGACAAUGGGCGCAAGCCUGAUCCAGCCAUUCCGCGUGCAGGACGAAGGCCUUCGGGUUGUAAACUGCUUUUGUACGGAACGAAAAGGCUCUGGUUAAUACCCGGGGCUCAUGACGGUACCGUAAGAAUAAGCACCGGCUAACUACGUGCCAGCCGCCGCCGUAA